rnacentral:rRNA from 1 species
AUUGAACGCUGGCGGCAUGCCUUACACAUGCAAGUCGAACGGCAGCACGGACUUCGGUCUGGUGGCGAGUGGCGAACGGGUGAGUAAUAUAUCGGAACAUACCUUGUAGUGGGGGAUAUCUAUCCGAAAGGAUAGCUAAUACCGCAUACGCUCUAAGGAGGAAAGCGGGGGAUCGUAAGACCUCGUGCUAUAAGAGUGGCCGAUAUCUGAUUAGCUAGUUGGUGAGGUAAAGGCUCACCAAGGCGACGAUCAGUAGCUGGUCUGAGAGGACGACCAGCCACACUGGAACUGAGACACGGUCCAGACUCCUACGGGAAGCAGCAGUGGGGAAUUUUGGACAAUGGGGGCAACCCUGAUCCAGCAAUGCCGCGUGAGUGAAGAAGGCCUUCGGGUUGUAAAGCUCUUUUGUCAGGGAAGAAACGGUUGUGGCUAAUAUCCAUGGCUAAUGACGGUACCUGAAGAAUAAGCACCGGCUAACUACGUGCCAGCCGCCGCAGUAACAC